CGACCAUAAAUAUUGAAACACCAGUUACCGUACGAUCACAGAUGUUAAGCAAGGUCGAUCCUGGUCAGUACCUAGAUGGGUGACUGCUCGAGAAUACCAGGUGUUGUAAG